UUUUCUCUAUGUCUCUCUCUCUCUCUCUCUCUCUCCCCCCUGUGUUCCUCUCCCCUGCUUGCAUGAAUGUGCAUUCUCUCUCUCUCUCUCUCUCUCUCUCUCUCUCAAAAGGAUGUUUAAGCUAAAAAAUCAAUUAAUUCUUGUAGUGCUUAUGUAUCUUUACUACCUUGUUACCAUGUUAGUGUCAUGCUAUCUGAGUUUUAAUCUAUCUAGGAAUUACCUCGUGUGUCUUUUUUAUUAACAUUUUAUUCUUUGAUCUCAAUGUUUCAAAGUCUGAAAAUUUUAUCACUUCUUUUGUAGGCUUGUUUUUGGAAUCUCAGUGUGAUAUUUUAAAAAGAUCUCUGACCAAGAACGUUUUAUUUGAGUCUUUUAUAAACAUCCUGGUUUUAAAUAUCUGCUAUCUAAACAACAAUCAAUUUUGGAAAGAAUAAAAAGCCAAUGGAGUCAAUCAUCCCUUUGCCCAGACUCCAAACUGGUAAUCUUCAAUUAUGAUAUUAGUUUUCUCUAAUUAUUUAAAGCUUUGGCAAAAGUAUUGUUGGGUAAGAAAGUUGACAUGAAGCCUGCCUGCCUCUCUUUCUUUCAUCUUUUUUUUCUUUCUUUCUUUUUUCUUUCCCUUUCCCCCUUCCAUUCCAUUCCUUUCCUUUCCUUUCCUUUCCUUUCCUUUCCUUUCCUUUCCUUUCCUUUCCUUUCCUUUCCUUUCCUUUCCUUUCCAUCUUUCCCUUUCUUCCCUUCCUUUCCUCCUUUCCUCUCUUCCUCUCUUCCUCCCUUCUUCGCUCCCCUCCAUCCUUCCUUCCUUUCUCUGCAUUUCACAAAGAUGUUCAAGGUUCAUUCUCCCAAUAUCACUUAUUGCAUUAAAACUUGGAUGUGUUUAAUUGCAUUAAAAUACCACCUAUCUAAGAUAAUUAUAUUUCCAUUUAAAAUGACCAGAUGCAGUGGUUUGCUCUAAAGUCCACAUUUACUUUGAAAUAAGAAUAAUGCCACCAGAGUGAAAUUUUAAAAUAGGCUUUGGCACAAUCAUUAAGCCAUCAUCCAGCCCAGGUAUGUUGGCAAGAAUGCUGGUAUUUAGGAAACUCUUCUAGUCCUGACUCUUCUGCCCAUCUAGUAUUAUUACUUCUUUAGCCUAAAGUCACCACCACAAGGUGAGAAACUCGGUCAUCUAAAGAAGCCACCUAGGCCCUCUUUUUUACAUCACCUAAUCCUAAUUUUCUACCUAGCACUUACCACUCACUAGAGAUUUUCCUUGUUUCUUUUGAUUAUCCUCUUAGAAUUUAAGCUUCGGAGGUGUUAUCUGCCUUUCUUUAUGGCUGAACAGUCAGCAUCUAGAAGAGAGUCAGGAAUAUACCAUAUGUCAUUGAAUCUAAGAUGACAUCAAUUGUAAGAUACACCAUCACUUCCUGUAUGUCAGAAUUUAAAAAUGCUGCCAUUUAAACUACGGGACAUGCUGUCUGGUCACGUUAGACUUUUUGUUUUAAUUUACUGAGAAGCUCUUUUAGAUUUACUUAGAAAGACCAUAGAUUUAUCAUAUAUAUUAGCUUACACACUCUAAAAAUGAGAAUAUAAGCAAAAUAAAUCGGUUAAGCUAUUCUUUUUUUUUUUAAUGUUUAUUUCUGAGACAGAGAGAGACAGAGCAUGAGUGGGGAGGGGCAGAGAGAGAGGGAGACACAGAAUCCGAAGCAGGCUCCAGGCUCUGAGCUGUCAGCACAGAGCCCGACGUGGGGCUCGAACCCACAAACUGUGAGAUCAUGACCUGAGCUGAAGUUGGUCACUCAACCAACUGAGCCACCCAGGCGCCCUGGUUAAGCUAUUCAUGAAACAACUUGAAGUGCAAGUUUUCAGUAUUAAUAUUCAAUGACACGUUGCCAGUAUACAGUAUUUCCCACACCUUACCAUUGUCUGUGCCAUCAAGAGUGUCAGUGAAGCAGUAUUUCUUGAAAGAUCGCUUCAUUAUUGUCUUUGAGAUUUUCUUCCCAGAAGGUGACAUUCAGUGUGCAAGUUUUGGUGCUUAUGGCAGUCAAGGCCUAGUAGACAGCAACUCUAAGACCGACCCUGAUUUCAGAAAUUUCAAAAUGUGAAAAAAAGAUACAUCUUAAAGUUUCAAAAAUAGGGUUGUGGGUACUCAAUGAAUAGUUUUUGAAUAUUUCUUUUUCUUUAAUGUUUAUUUAUUUUUGAGAGAGAGAGAUACAGAGCACAAGCUGGAGAGGGGAAGAAUGAAAGGGAGACACAGAAUCUGAAGCAGGCUCCAGGCUCUGAGCUGUCAGCCCAGAACCCAACGCGGGGCUUGAACUCACGAACCACCAGAUCAUGACCUGAGCCAAAGUUGGACGCUUAACCAACUGAGCCACCCAGGCGCCCCUCAAUAAAUAAUUUUUGAAUACUUGAAUAAAUGACUGUUGUCAACUCUCCGUGUUCUUGAGCAAGCCAGUUUUUCCUUGAGCCUUAUUUUGAACAAUUUAAAAAAUAAACAAAAACCAAAACUCUGAUCAACCUACUCUUCAAGGGUUCAAGUUUCUAGGGCAAACAGUAAGACUCCCUCCACUCAGCUGUUCUUUCAGAUAAUUAAUAAGAGGUGCCAGACCACAGAUCAGAAGAUGUGUUAUGUGAAGCCUGAGGAUUUUUGCCACGUUAGGCUGGCCCCUUUCUCUCUCCCUGGUUGUAGGUGGUUAGUAUAUAGUACACAGAGCACCGUCAUCAGAGAGAAAGGAGCUAAUCAGUGAGAGGAUUUACACACAGGAAGAAAUGUAUGCCUAACCUCUAUAUAGCUCAAUUCCUAGGAUGUAGAGAAGGGAUGGCCUCUGAACUCAUUGCCAAGGUUAGAAAGUACUUGGAGGGGCCAGUGACCAGGCCUCUUGUUGCAGCCAUGGGAAACUCUCUAUCCAACAUGGGGGUACCUGGCCUAGCUGCAGAUGAUCCAAUGGGCAGAAGUUAAAAAAUCUUGGUUGUUAAAUAAGAUCUGUCUGUACAUAGUCCUCAGAAUCCUAACUCCAGAUGUGACUGAAUUGCCACUUUGUAAAUACAGAAUUGCUCUUUUAUAAACCAGAAGCCAAUGCCUACAAACUGGGGAGGUAACUUCAUGAACCCCAGAUAACCUGUAUGUAUGCAUACCACCCAGCUAAAAAUAUCUAUAGGCUCUACCCAGCAUGGCUACUUACACCAAUUCAUCUCUAUGACCUUACACAUACUAUACAUCUCACUAUGUUUCAGGAAGCCCUAUCUUGGAUACAGUGACCUCCUGCACAUCAGUCAAAGGACUGAAACUAGAAUAAGGAAAAUCAGGAUUGGUUUCUACUUUGUUUCUUCUACUGAAAGUAUCUGACUCUAUUGUAAUUAAUUGCUUCCUGCCUGUCUCUUUCCCUAGGUUAUGAGAUACGCCCCAGAGAACUGAGGAAGAACAAUGGAGUACAUUAUUAACUAAAAUCAGUGCAUAAUUUUAUUUUUUUAAAGCAUUCUGGAACAGAUAAUUUAUCACAGUUUGAUGCCUCAGGAAACAUUCCAUUUUGGUUAUAUGACACAGAGAGAAGCUCUCUUAAACUUCCCCUACAGACUCCUUCGUAUAUUUGGCAUGAUGUUAAUCCUUCAGGCUGGUGUGGGAAUCUUCUCUUCUCAGCAAAAUUUGAAUUUCUACUUCUAGAUUAGAGUCAAAGAAGGAUUAGAAAGAUGUUCAUUUUAAUAUUUAAAGACCACUUUAGGAAUACUUAUAAUAUCCUGCUAGUUAUGAAUGUAUUGCAUUUACUAAAAAUUGCUAAGUAUCUUACCAAAUUUUUGUUAAUAUUAUAAUCAAAGGUACUUAGUUACUGGUAUUUCUGCAGCCACUGAAAAUGCCAUGCAAUUAUAUACAGAAUAUAUUUUCUCUUUGGAAACUGAAAAGCCCUAGAGGUUCAGACUAAUGGCUGUACUCUUCCAGAUACAUUAUUCAUUGUAAACUAGCUUUCCAGAAUCCUACAUUAUGGAAAACUAAUUACCUGUCACAUUUUUAAACACAUGUAUACUAAUACAUAUUAUGAGCAUUUUGAACAAUCUUUCAUUCCUAGUCAACUGUUUUUUGGUGUGUGUGUGUGUGUGUGUGUGUGUGUGUGUGUUUAACCAUGAAGCCAAAGUUUAAAAAAUAGAAAAAUAACAAAUUAGGAAAAUUUGACUAACAAAGAAUUUGACACAAUUCAUUAUUAGAGAAUGAUAAGUAAGUAAAAUGGAGGAUGAGUAAGAGAUCUACAUGCUGAAUCAACUGUUAAAAUGUAAGUCUUUCUUGCUUUUGAUUCUGUACAGACGCCAGCCCUGAAAUGGAGGUGGUAAGAGAUGUGUUUCCCAGUUGAGGACAUGAAAGACACCACUCACCAGUUGUGGGCAAUACCUACGAGGGGAUUAGAUGGGAACUUUUGCUACAUGCCCUGCUCCCCACAUAUGAAAGUUUCCCAAAGCAUAAUAUAUCCAAUUAUAUGCCUGGAUGGGGUUUUCAGGUCACCCCAGACCAGUCUUCUGUCAGUAAGUUCAUCCUUUGGUGUAGUUUUUAGGGAAAGAUAUUCAAAACUAGUCUCAAGUACAAGUGUUCAAAAACCCUGGGGAGUCCUGAACAAAUACAGAGAAAACUUAAAUAAUAACAAAUCAGGUACAAUUGUAUUAGAAAUAUCUAGAAUACAGAUCUCCUCCAGUCAAGCUCUCUCCAUUUGUUCUACCACCCUGCACUGACAUCUCAUUAAAUUUAGAAUGCAGUUAAAAUCCUGCAAAAUUCUAUAUGAAUUGUCCCCUGCCACCCUAUCUAAUUAGCUCCUACUACUCUCUCCUAGUGUUCCUGGCUUCCUCUACUUCAACUAUCAGAAGGUGCCUGCAAUCACUGCAUCCCUUACAUAAAUUAAAGGAGUAAAGAAGUACAGGAGAUAUUACCCGACUUCUGAGGCUUCAUCAUAAGAAGCACAAAAUCCAUCACAUGGCAGAAAUGCAGAUGGGCAUUCCAUGAGAUGAGCCAAGAUUUUGAACACAAAGCCUUCUUCAGCCAGCUGGGAGCAGAUAUAUGAAGAGCCCUUGUCACCUGAAAUUUAUUCUCCUUCCCUAUUCAUUGUUCCAGAACAUAGGGCAGCAGCUAGAAUCUGUGGCUGAAACUGAAGUUUCAGUGAGCAGUAUGGUGAGCCUAGUCCAAACCUAUGUCAUCAUCCAAAUGUUGACUUCAGGUUUCACUGAUAUUUACCAGUACCUUUGUUUUCUUGUUUUUCAUUCACAGCCCUUUCCUUUACUCAGUAUUUCGUGAAAUUCUAAAUAUUAUAUGUUAGAUUAUUUGCUAGACAUUUUGUAGUUUUAUCGCUAUUGUUCAAGGUAUUCUAUUUCCUGGCAUAUUUUCUAGUUGGUUGCUGCUGCUUUAGAGGUUGUUGAUUUUUACAUGUUGAUCUUGUACUGAGGAAACUUGCUGAACUCCCUCAUUCUCUGCACCAAUAUUGGUUAUUUUGUCUUUUCCUUUCCAAUUCUUACACCUCUUAUUUCUUUUUCUUAUGUUGUCCAGGGCUUUUAAUACUAUUUUAAAGAAUAAAUGGGAUAGUAGAUGA